rnacentral:rRNA from 1 species
CAAUAGCGUGUAUUAAAGUUGUUGCAGUUAAAAAGCUCGUAGUUGGAUUUCUGGUGGGAGCGAUCGGUCUGGCGCUUAGCGCGAGUACUUGCAUCGUCUCCGGCCACCCUUGGGGAGAGUCUGUCUGGCAUUAGGUUGUCGGGCAGAGGAUCCUCAUCGUUUACUGUGAAAAAAUUAGAGUGUUCAAAGCAGGCUUAUGCCGUUGAAUAUAUUAGCAUGGAAUAAUAAGAUAGGACUUUGGUACUAUUUUGUUGGUUUGCGCACCAAAGUAAUGAUUAAUAGGGACAGUUGGGGGCAUUCGUAUUCCGUUGUCAGAGGUGAAAUUCUUGGAUUUACGGAAGACGAACUACUGCGAAAGCAUUUACCAAGGAUGUUUUCAUUAA